GGAUGCUGUUAGGUGCUAUGAAAUGCAGUUACAGCUUGAUUUAUUUACAUUACAACUAAGAGCAAGUUCACUACCGUGAAAGCACCCUCAGCUAGUGCCCCUGCCACGUGACCUGGUUAUGAAUGGCCUGCGGUGCUGUGUUUCCCUCAGUGGACAGGUGGUGUGGCCCAGAGCACUGCGUGGAUGAGCUGACAGCCCCUUCACGAAGCUCCUCCUGCAGGGCAGCCUGUGAGGCCAGUUCCCAGCAGUCCCUGGGAGGAGCCAGAUUCACUCCUCGGGCACUCGGUGUGCACACGCAGGAAGCUGAGUGCGAGCAUUUUCAGCAAGGCCACGCUCUGUGUGUCUGGGACAUUGCAGCGUUAGACUACUUUAUUUUCUUAAGUUGCUUCUGCUAUAGAGAACACUUUAAGAAAGGAAGCCUUCCCAAGAUCUCUGCCUCCCAUCCAUAAAAUACUCACUCAUCAUUCAGGUAAGUGUAUUGCUUUGCUUCGAUCUAUUCUGAGCAAGUGUAUUGAUUCUCUCUGAAAACCUGAGUCAUUAUAUUAAGACAAGAAGCCUGAGGUUACAGAUAUUUUGCUAUCUGGAAAGAAAAAGUUCCUCAACUUCAAGGUCCUUUCCAGGACCAACAUACUGUGAAGGAUUUGCUUUGGAGGGGUUUCACUGAUACCCCUUCUGUAUAUCUGCCAGUAGUGACGGUUUGUUAAACACUGUAAUAUCUAUCGGUAAUCUGCCGGGUAUUCCGAAGGCCCUUUUUAUGUGUGUGAUUUGAAUACACUUCACAGAUGGACAUCCUAAACCUGAAGAAGUGCAGUGUGAAGUCUGUGGUUGGGGAAUGAGAAGCUGGGGUAGCGUCAGCAGCACGGAAGCAGUUUCUUUGCAGAUGGCCCCCGAGAGUGUAGACCCUGAACCCUGGCCCGAGGAUUAAGACUGAUAGGACUGUACAGGGCAGUAGACCUGGAAAUAUGUGGGGUGUUUCUGCCCACGUCUGGCCAGGCUGAAGGUCACAUCUGGUUUCC
rnacentral:lncRNA from 1 species